GAUGAACGCUGGCGGCGUGCCUAAUACAUGCAAGUCGAGCGAAUGGAUUAAGAGCUUGCUCUUAUGAAGUUAGCGGCGGACGGGUGAGUAACACGUGGGUAACCUGCCCAUAAGACUGGGAUAACUCCGGGAAACCGGGGCUAAUACCGGAUAACAUUUUGAGCCGCAUGGUUCGAAAUUGAAAGGCAGCUUCGGCUGUCACUUAUGGAUGGAACCGCGUCGCAUUAGCUAGUUGGUGAGGUAACGGCUCACCAAGGAAACGAUGCGUAGCCGACCUGAGAGGGUGAUCGGCCACACUGGGACUGAGACACGGCCCAGACUCCUACGGGAGGCAGCAGUAGGGAAUCUUCCGCAAUGGACGAAAGUCUGACGGAGCAACGCCGCGUGAGUGAUGAAGGCUUUCGGGUCGUAAAACUCUGUUGUUAGGGAAGAGCAAGUGCUAGUUGAAUAAGCUGGCACCUUGAUGGUACCUAACCAGAAAGCCACGGCUAACUACGUGCCAGCCGCCGCGGUAA
rnacentral:rRNA from 1 species